GACCUCAAAUGCUCGCUCAUCAGAUAAAAUUGGAGUGAUUUGUUCGUUUUCACAGGAGGAUGGUGGUCAUGGAAAACGCAAUCCGCUGAGGAGCGUGUGGCAGCUUACCUGCCAACGGAACUCGCCUUGGAAAUGGAGGGUGCUGCAGCUGGGAGUC
rnacentral:ncRNA from 1 species